GACGCAAUGUGAUGCUUGAUUUUUAAAAAAAACAAAACUUUAUUUCAGAUAUAAUUAAUAUUUCCAUAAUUUAGGAUAAGCAGACACACUUCCUUGAGUCCUCUAUUUUAGGUAUCCCAUUGUACAUUCUUCAUAAAAAGCAGGAUCAGAAUAGCACUUGCCACAGCAUGGAUGGACCUGGAGAGCACCACGCUCAGCGAAACAAGCCAGUCGGAGAAAGAUAAAUAUCACAGGAUCUCACUCCUAUGUGGGAUACAAUGAUCCACAUAAACUGACGAACAAAAAUGGAUCCAGAGACAAGGUGGCACUGAGCAGACCGUCCAACGAAGAGGGAUCAAACAUCUUUUUCCACAUGUCUGAGAUGCUGCUCUGCCGGGUCGAGCGCCAUCUCGGCGACGGAGGAACCGUGAUGCUUGAUUUCAUGCGUCACCCUGACUGAGCCACGAGCACUCAGAUAGGCGGUCCGUCACCCUCCGCAUGUCUCUGUGAGGGCGUUUUCGGGGCGAGAUUAACAGCGAGUUCAGUAGACUGCACAAAGCAGAUUGCCCUCCCUGAAGUGGGUGGGCCGCCUCCCAGCAGCUGAGGGCCUGAAAGACCCGUCCUCCCCAGCAGCGGUCCUUCCUGCCUGCCUGGCUUCCAACGGGGACGUCAGCUCAUCGCCUGCCUCUGGAUUCAA